AACUCUUCUUCAUAUCGACCCCUAAGUUCGCACCUCCAUCUCCAUCGAACAACAUCGUUUUGACCCAUUACCUCACAAUCGAACCCAGCAACAAUUUAGGGUAACCUUCGUUUUCUCUCCCGACCCAGUUCACCUUCAAUCCCUAAAUUGUUGUUCUUAACACCUCUGUCACCCAGGCUCGAACACUAGAUUUGUCGCCAUCACACCCUUCUUCUACGCCUUUCGUCGACGGAACGAGAGAAAUUACCAUGCAAGGAGCUUUCUGCCAACCCCUUCAUUGACGACGUCCAACCCUCAUACACAGGUGUUGUUUUCAUUGAGCUGUUCCAUGUGGACUAAACUAUUUGAUCUUGGAUUUUAGUUUGAUAUCCAAUAUAUUGGUUUGUUUCUUUGUUCUCUUAAUCUUAAUAUUGUUUAUUGUUUAUUUUAAGGUGUGUUCAUUUCAGGUAAUUUAUUUCUUAAAUAAAGAUAAAAAUUGAAGUUGUAAAUUAAUUCAUGUUUGCAUUAUUUUCUUGCCAUAUAAUAAAUUAGGUUGUUCUAUCUUUCUGUGAUUUUAGACAUAGAUUGUUGAUCAUCUUUGCCACAUGAAAAAGUGUUAAUAUGUUAAUCUUGUUGUGUUUAGACAGUUGGAAUGGUCCUUGUAAAAGAAUGGCUGCUCAAAUGCAUCUUCUCCAUAAAUUUGCAGGUUACAAUUAGGUGAUGUUUUUAAAUUUAAGUAAAAAAGCUAAGUUAGUUAAAAAAAAAAAAAGUAAAAAAGCUAUAUUUAUAAUGUUUUCAAUCCCUAUAAUGAUGCCUCUGCUACUGAAUAUAAUUUAACUUACCCUUAUUUCUAGUUGAUAUAUUAUAAUUUCAUGAUAUUAUGAUGUGAUGCUCAAAGCUUUUCAUAUAGGUACAACAUGUGUGGUUAUGUGAUUUGAAACUUUUUAUUUGGCUUGACAAAGAUUAAAUUUACCCAAUGAAUAGAGGUAUCAUUGAGUUACUGAGGUGCUAUUAGUGUUUGUAGUUAUGUAUUUAGUGCUGAUGUUGAGUCUAUUUGCUCUGUCAUAAAGAAAGCAAGUGAUAUUUAUGGACAUGUUGGGUUUAUUUGUCUAAAUUCUAUUAGUCCAGUCAGCUAACACAUUUCAUUUUGCUAUAUUGUAUUUAUUUUGAAGACAUUGCUUAGACUUUGUUAUUAAAAACUUAUAUUUAUUUGCUUGUUUGGUUGGAGAAUGGAAAGUAAUAGCUUUUUUGUUACAAUGGAUAAGGUGAUCUUUAUUUGGACUUCAACUUAUGUUUUGUUCACUGCUCAAAAUUUUCAUGGCUGGUAUUGUGGUAAAUUUUCUUGAGAGUUAUAUGGUUCUCUUGAGAGUUCUCAAAUUAAAUAAGUUAUUAUUCACUUGCACAAAAUUUGUGCUUUUACUAGUGAGUCAUUAACUCAUUUUGCCUCUUUUAAAAUUAUAAGACUAUUUGGAAUUGAUAUCAUUAUCAUUUGGGAAGAAGUUAAAUCUUCAAAAGAGCUUCUAGAUGACACUAUUCAUGUAUUUGAGUUGACUUUCCUUUAGGUAUCCUCUAUUAAAGAAACGAUACGGCACAAUAUGUGGGGUUUGUUAGGAACAUUUUGCCUCCCAAUAAAGAUUACAAGAUUGGUGGUAGUACAUCAUGUGGCUGGUGAUGACUUUUUAUGCUUAGUGUUAUUUGUUCUUUGUAGUGUUUUAUUUGAGGUGAUCUAUUUCUUAAUUAUGUAUUGUUAUAAUAUUUUGAUCUGUAUUUGUUUCAGAAGUUGAGUUUGGUGUGAACGAGUGACAGAGAUAGAGUUUGAUUCAAGGUUUUUUUAAUUCUUACGCACAUUUAUCCAUAAUUUUCGGAAUUAUUAAGUAUGUUCAUUUAGAUCUUAUGUGUCUGUGACAAAGACAGAGUUCAAGUAACUUUUUAUUUGGCUUGACAAAGAUAGAUACGUAUCAUACCUUCCACUUGCACACAUCUUUGGCAGGGUUGUUGAAGAAGCAAUGAUUUGGAUUGGUGCUUCAAUAUGCAUCUGGCGUGGGGUGAAUAUAUGCUAAAUCUUUCAUUACUUAUUACUUAAUGAUGUCUUGAUGCGAUUAUAGUAUAUCGGAUUUUUAAUUUAAUCUCAAGUAUAGUCAAAUUUUGUAUUUCAUAAUAAUAUAGCACUACUUAUUCAAUUUGGCUGCAGGAUGUCAAAUUGUUGAUGGAAGACGUAGCUGAGUUAAAACCAACUAUUUUUUGUGUCGUUCUCCGUGUGCUUGAUAGAGUCUACACAGGGACUUCUUGAAAACAUGAGAGGUACUGCUGGCUUGGUUUGGAAAAUGGUGGAGGAGUAUGCUGGGAGCUUAUUGUACAGGUUGUUAUUUGAUUAAGGAUGAAGCUCAUAGGACCUUUUUAUUAGCAUACUAGCAUAAGUUAAUUUGUUUUGGUGGUGAGAGUUAUGUACUCAGCUAGGUUCUUGAGAUCAUAGGACCUUUAUAUUAGUAUUAGCAUAAGUUUGUUUUGGUGGUGAGAAUUAUAUGUACUUAGCUUUUUGAAUAUUGUUUCAGCCCACAUAAAUCUUGUAUAUUAUUCAUGUUAUAUUGAAAAAGUUAUUUUUUGUUC